UUGGAGCAAGUUAAACAGUAUAAUAACAAAAUAAUAGAUAAAAACGUUAGAAUAAAAAAAAAAAAAAUUCUACCAAUGUACAAUAUACAAGAUAAGCUAUAAACAAAAAUAAAACAUGAUAUAAACUGAGAGUGCAAAUAUUGUCUACUCACCAAAGAUGGUGAGAAGAUGGAAUAACUUCAUCCGAAGCACAGAUGGCAACAGGGGACGCUCAGCAGCAGCAGAGGAGAGAGUCAGAGAGCCGGACGAGACACAGGAAACGCUCCUACAUCUGAGCCAAAUCCUCGCUGACUGGAGUGGAGAGUGGAGGGAGCCUGUGGAAAUAGUUUGACCAAAAAUAAGUUGUGCCGGGAGGGAGCCAGAAAAACACACGCAGCGAUUUGGCAGAGAGGAAAUGAGGAGCUGAGUUUUUUUUCCAAAACCUGCCAGGUUUUUUGGCAGCAGAUGACACGUGUGUGUUCUGUUAAAUGAUUGCCUCGCUGGUGAGAAGAAAAUCAAUACAAGACAUUCUUCACACCUUCAACCAAUGAGAGAAGGAAGUGAAACCUCCCCCACCUUUAACAUUGAGAGUUAAUUCAAUCCUGCAAGUCACAUGGCAAAAUAAAAGAAUUACACUUUUUUGUAAAAAAAAAGAAAAUCAUUCCCUUGGA